GCCUCCGUGGAUCAGUGGUAGAUCGCCCUGGCAGAAUUUGUCAAAACUGGAACAGUUAACAGGGAGCUGUGGGUUCGAAUCCCAUUAGAGGCA